rnacentral:rRNA from 1 species
GACGAACGCUGGCGGCGUGCUUAACACAUGCAAGUCGAGCGGAAAGGCCCUGCUUUUGUGGGGUGCUCGAGUGGCGAACGGGUGAGUAACACGUGAGUAACCUGCCCUUGACUUUGGGAUAACUUCAGGAAACUGGGGCUAAUACCGGAUAGGAGCUCCUGCUGCAUGGUGGGGGUUGGAAAGUUUCGGCGGUUGGGGAUGGACUCGCGGCUUAUCAGCUUGUUGGUGGGGUAGUGGCUUACCAAGGCUUUGACGGGUAGCCGGCCUGAGAGGGUGACCGGCCACAUUGGGACUGAGAUACGGCCCAGACUCCUACGGGAGGCAGCAGUGGGGAAUAUUGCACAAUGGUCGGAAGCCUGAUGCAGCAACGCCGCGUGCGGGAUGACGGCCUUCGGGUUGUAAACCGCUUUCGCCUGUGACGAAGCGUGAGUGACGGUAAUGGGUAAAGAAGCACCGGCUAACUACGUG